AAAUUGAAGAGUUUGAUCAUGGCUCAGAUUGAACGCUGGCGGCAGGCCUAACACAUGCAAGUCGAACGGUAACAGGAAGCAGCUUGCUGCUUUGCUGACGAGUGGCGGACGGGUGAGUAAUGUCUGGGAAACUGCCCGAUGGAGGGGGAUAACUACUGGAAACGGUAGCUAAUACCGCAUAACGUCGCAAGACCAAAGAGGGGGACCUUAGGGCCUCUUGCCAUCGGAUGUGCCCAGAUGGGAUUAGCUAGUAGGUGGGGUAACGGCUCACCUAGGCGACGAUCCCUAGCUGGU
rnacentral:rRNA from 1 species